CCCUUAGACGUUCUGGGCCGCACGCGCGCUGCACUGACCAGUGCAACAAGCAUCCGUCCUUGGCCGACAGGCCCGGGCAAUCUUUGAACGCUGGUCGUGAUGGGGAUAGACUUUUGCAAUUUUUGGUCUUCAACGAGGAAUUCCUAGUAAACGCAAGUCAUCAACUUGCAUUGAUUACGUCCCUGCCCUUUGUACACACCGCCCGUCGCACCUACCGAUUGAAUGGUCCGGUGAAGCCUCCGGAUUGGCGCGCACCUCGGUGCCGCCGAGAAGUUGGCUAAACCUUACCAUUUAGAGGAAGGUGAANUCGUAACA
rnacentral:rRNA from 1 species